CUCUACUGCUCUCUCCUCUCUCUAUUGCUCUCUUCUCUCUCUACUGCUCUCCCCUCUCUCUACUGCUCUCUUCUCUCUCUACUGCUCUCCCCUCUCUCUACUGCUCUCUCCUCUCUUUUGGUUUUACUCUUGCCCUUACUCCCGCGUUCCUUUUUUGCUUUCCUUUUUUCUGUUUUUUUUCCCCCAUCUCCAGUUUAUCUCCAAAUUGAAAUAAUGGUACAACUGCUCCCAAGACAAGGUCUUAGCAUGGGAGUCUCAGCUGCUCCCAAGACAAGGUCUUAGCACAGGAGUCUCAGCAGCUCCCAAGACAAGGUCUUAGCAUUGGAGUCUCAGCUGCUCCCAAGACAAGGUCUUAGCAUGGGAGUCUCAGCUGCUCCCAAGACAAGGUCUUAGCAUGGGAGUCUCAGCUGCUCCAGUACAUUGUCACACGAGCCUCUUUGCAUGGAUUGCCUAGUUCAGAGGCAGAGAUAGCUCCAGUAAAGCAUUGUUGAUAUACUAGUCUGUUAUGUGAUUCUACAGGAUAUUAUCCCCUAUUGUCUAUUUGUUCUACCUUUCUAUCAUUGCCUGUUGCUCUGUUGUUUUUGAUUUCUCAUACUUUUUUCGUUCUAUAUUAACAACUUUCUCAUCUGCUUUUUUAUAACAAAACUUGUGAAAUAAAGACAAUUUCAUAAGAUGUAUUUAACCCCUGCUUUAAAAUGUUUAUGAUGCUGAAGCUAUGGUUUUACUUAUUGGGAGCGAACAGCUGCCUGCUGUUGUCCCAAAUGACACCCUAUUCCCUACAUAGUGCACUACUGGCACCCUAUUCCCUACAUAGUGCACUACUUUAGACCACAGACCCUAUGGGCCCUGGUCAAAUGUUGUGCACUUUAUAGGGAAUAGGGUGCCAUUUGGGACGCAGGGGGUUGUUGAGUAUCUCCCAUUAAGUAUUUCCUUGUUGCAAAGUGAAGAAUUCUGAAUACAGGAUGUGUAUGAUGAGACAAAGACUUUAUAUAUCUGAGAGUGGCAGUAUAGAUUUCACAUCUGGAAUGAGUAGAGAUCUGAUGAUGAUUCUAGAAUGAUGAUGAUUCUAGAAUGAUGAAGAGAUUUAGAAUGAGGAUGAUUCUAGAAUGAGCAAGAGAUUUAGAAUGAUGAUGAUUCUAGAAUGAGCAAGAGAUUUAGAAUGAUGAUGAUUCUAGAAUGAUGAAGAGAUCUAGAAUGAUGAUGAUUCUAGAAUGAUGAAGAGAUCUAGAAUGAUGAUGAUUCUAGAAUGAUGAUGAUUCUAGAAUGAUGAUGAUUCUAGAAUGAUGAUGAUUCUAGAAUGACCAUUUUUUCUGAGACUAGUGAUGAUGAUACGUUUUUGUCAACAGAAACUAAACUUUGGUUUCAUUUGCAUGUGUUGCAUGAGAUUAUGUUCAACGAGAAGCUAACUGUGUCACACGUGAGAAAAACAUGUUGCGUUCUUUAAAAAGCUUCUCCUUCCGUUUAUUAUGCACAUUCUGAAGCAGCUUAUUCUAUAGCAAGAGACUCAUAGCAGAACUAUUCAUGUAGCUGCCAUGUUUUGCCUUUCCCAAAUUCAUGUAUUGUUUACUUACUGUGUGGUUUUAGGAAAUCAUUUUUUAUAUAGGAACCUACUUUCAAAAGAGUAACACUUGACUUAAUAUACCAGACUUCAUUAAGAUUUACUAGUGAGAUAAUAUGAACUGUUUUGCAGUUUAACAAUACAUAAUGAUACAUGACAUGAUGAUAUAUCGUUUACACCUGUACUUAGGCAGUAAAACAUAGAGAAAAAGCACUUUAUCAAGUCUCGAGUUGACUUAUUUAUCAGACAAAUUAAAUCCUAAUAAAAUAUAUAUCCUGCUUUAUUUGGGCAAGGUUUUCCAUUUCCUUUUGUCUGAUCAUGUCUCUUCUUCUGUGGUGGUGCUUGAUGUUAACUGUUAAAACCCUUUGUGAAGAUUAAAUAUCAAAAGAGAUACAGGUGGAACUAUAUGUUCGUACGUAAUGCAAUUAUAUAAGGGUCCAGUACAGUACAGUACAGUAUGUUUUUUUUUUGGGGGGGGGGGAGCAUGUAUUUUACAUUAUGCAAAAGAAAAGUAUUCAAAUACAAAAUGUAAAUACAAAUAAAUCAUUGCAUGAAAUAAAUUUUGUAAUACAACAGU